UGUGCUAAGGUAGCAUAAUCAUUUGCUUCCUAAUUAGAAGAAAGAAUGAAAGGAUAAACGAGUUAAAACUGUUUCAAUUUAAAACAUUAAAUUAAUAUUUAUGUAAAAAAGCAUAAAUAAAACAACAAGACGACAAGACCCUGAUAAACUUAACAUUUAAUUGGGGCGAUAUAAUAAAAAAACCUUAUUAACCAAUAUAUCAUAACUUUUUUAAAAAAUAAAGAAAAGUUACUACAGGGAUAACAGCGUUAUUUUUCCCUAGAGCCCUAAUCCAAAGAAAACUUUACGACCUCGAUGUUGAAUUAAUUUAACUAAAUGGGGCAAAACCUAUUUAAGAAAGUCUGUUCGACUUAUAAAUAAUUACGUGAUCUGAGUUCAGACCGG
rnacentral:rRNA from 1 species